CCUCAAACCUUUCCAGCAGAGCCGCGUACAAUUGGAUAGCUUGAGAGGCGUGAUCAGCCUGGCGAGCGUGUAUUUCGUUAGGGGCUGCACUCUUCAACUCGGGAACAGACUUGGCAGGUAAACGUGUGGUUGUUGUGUUGUGUGUUGACGCUAGGUCAGCCCGUCCGCACCUGUGGCUGACCGUUGUAGCAGGUUAGGUGUAAGUUUUUGUUUUCCUUCAAGCACCAAUUGUCAGCAAUUUCUCUAUUUCAGUGCACCAGAGUGAGCAACUGCAAGAAGUGUUUUUGUUAGUAAAGGUACAGUUUAUGUUGGCUUCCGGAUAUGAUUGUGUUGGUUUUAUGGAUUGAAUUAAAGUACAACAGGACUGGAGAAGUUGGAUUUAUUUAUGAAUUUUAAUUAAUGAUUUUUUUGGCGUGUCUAAGUGUCUUUUUUUUGUGUGUGUGAAUUACGUUUUUUUUUUGUUUGUUACUUUUUGUGAGUAGAUUUGAGUUGUUGCUUUUGUUGUGUUUGUGUGUGUCUUUUUUUGUUUUGUUUCAGGUACAAGUUAGGUUAGCUUCAGGUGUGAUUGUGUCUUAUGCAAGGUGGUCGGAGUGAGGCCGGUCGAAGGCUAUCCGUGUAGUUGAGCGAGGCCCUCCUGCUCGUCUCCUUUGUGGUCCGGAAGUAUUAUCUUUUGAAUGGUGGGUGGCUGGCCCCAGACUCUUUCCAGGAUAGUUUCUCUACUUAUUCGUCCAUUUGCAUAUAGUUUUCUAUAAUUAUUAAUCUCUAGUUCGCAAAAUCUGUCUGGGGGUUUUCUAGGUAUAUUUUUUCGCUCCUCCUCUCGUCUCGCUUCUUUUUCUAUCUCAACUCUCUCCUGUUCCUCGUUUUCUAAUCGAAGCAGUAUGGGAAGACUCUCUCGUAGUAUAUUUGUUUGUCUUACUAGGACUUCUCUUUGCUCGGUCUUCGGGUAAGUGUGGAUUGAUCUAUAUUCUGUUUCUGGUUGAACUUGUAUCUGUCCUUGUUUAAGGGGUAGGAUGUGUGUCUGAAGCUGAAGGUCGUACCUGUAACGGCUAAAGCUUAGUCUGCUGGGGACGUGUGGGUUUAAAAACAGACGGGUCACUUCUGGGUUUAUGUGGCCUAUGAGUGAAUUAGCAAAGCGUUUACUUGCUUUUUCAUAUACUUCCUCUACUGUUUGAAUAUUGUAUAUUUCUCUAAUGUCUGUGUUUCUGGUAUAUCUGGAAGCUUUAGUUGAUUUCCUCAUUAAUUUAUUUUGCAGCAUUUGUAUAUUUUUUAUUUGCGUAUUGGAAGCAAGAGCUCCCCAUAUUGGUAUUGCAUAGUGCCAAAUUGGCAUUAUAAGUUGUUUUACUAUUGUAACCUUGCAGUCUCUGGGCAGUCGGCUACCAUUUCCAAUAAGCCAUUCCAGUUUAAUAGCCGCAGAUCUCGCUUUGUUUGUAAUAGUCUUGAUGUGAGGGCAUAGGUUUAGCCUUUGGUCAAGGGUCACCCCGAGAUAUGUUUGCAUUCUUUUGUUCGGAAUACUCUGUAGGCUUGGCUUGUCCCUUUGCUCAACAGGAGCAGCGUUGAGGAGAUCCGUCUCCAGCUUGAUCCAGCGAUGGCACAAGUGGCGUGAGGCCUCUCAUGCAUAUAUUAAUUAAUCCAGCGGCGGUGAAAGGGGCGGUCCCUUGCCUCUCUCACUUUACUGACGUAUGUUGGGCGCUCUUCGUAGCGCUGUCGGUGGCCGGUUUGGACUUUUUUCUUCAUUUAUUUUUGGUGGUUUUUUUUUUUUUCACAUCACGGUGGGUGCUCUAUGUAGCACUGUCGGUGCCUUUUCAGGUCUUUAUCUUCUUUUAUGUCAGCACGCUUCUUGUUUAUUUUUUUUUUUUUUUUUAGAACACAUGAUUAGCUUCGGUUGGAUUUUUUUUUUUUUUUGAAAAUCCAGUAAUUUAUUAGAGGCAAUUUAAACGUGAAAUUUGGAUAUGCAGAAUUAUUUUUGGGUCUCACUGUUCACGGUCA